GAUGCCGCUUGCCCUGCUCGCCAUUCAACAUCAGUCAACGCGUUCUCAAACCAAUCUCGUUAUUUCAACAACCAGUUACCGGAUUUUUUAUGGUUCAAGGAAAAUCCAGCACUUCGUGGGCUCCGCUGGAAUGCAAAUCGCUCGAUGUAUUCGUCUGAAUUCCUUUUUUUUCUAGGAAUCUCGUGCCAAUGCUCGCAAUUCAUAGUGGGCGCUACAGGUCGAAAGACGGAACGAGACCGGUACGAGCAUUCGGAUAACGACCAACGUCCAAAACUCGAAAACAGCUCGAAAGCAGCUGAAGCAGCUGUCGAGAUGGCAAGGAAAUGCGUACGUGCUAGAGGAUAAAGUGCAACCAAACUGUCCAAGAGGAAAAUCAAAAUCAAGCAAUGUUUUGUAAAAUCAUCGCUCCGCGAGGUCUCACUGUGUUGGAAGCCUAGAAGAGCGUUGACUCAAACGCGAGGCGGGGGCUUGAGCAAUAAUCCUCACGGCAAAAGUGCGAUGAUCUACAAGAAAACUCAUUCGAGCGGACAAUAGACGCGAUAUCGUCGCGUCUACACGGAAAGCAAGAAACAGCAGCAGCAGCAGCAGCAGCAGCAGCAGCAGCAGCAGCAGCAGCAGCAGCAGCAGCAGCAGCAGGCCGUUGACUCGCGAAUUGAGUAACGCAAUUUUCUGCGUCGUACAACGGAGCGUUUACAUACACAGGCAGACGCGAAUAACGGAGCACGAGAGAGAGAGAGAGAGAGAGAGAGAGAGAGAGAAACGAAGAGAGCAAAGAGAAGGAUGAAACCAGGCUACGACCUUGGCCUUCGUUUCCAAGUGGCGCGCGCGUACGAUCGUGCUCAUAAUACACUCUCAACGACUGUCGCCCGAAGCCUAAUGACUGCGCGUACGUAUGUAGUACCGGCCCCCGCGAACAUGUAUGUGAACUUUCGGACUUUUCUCGAACCAAUUGCACUCGUCUUUUAUUGCUUAGCUUUGCGAGCCCACUUCCGAUGCUCUUGAUCGCUUAAUUUUCUCCGACAUACCAAUUUUAUUUAUGAUUUGUAUUUACAUUAUCGAACAUUCGUAUGAACUGCGAAAGACUACGGAGCAAGCAUUCGCGCGAAAGUCUAUUUAUAGAGAACUAGUUACUGCUUGAAUCAUUGUGCACCGAUUCUCACUGAAUUUAUUUUCAAUUAAUCUCAUCGUUAACAACCGAAUACAAUAAAAAUUAUAUUGUUUCUCUGAAUUUGGAGUUGAGCCAAAAAAAAAUAUUUAAUCGACGAUUCAACAACAGCUAAAAUUACGCACCUCGUCAGUGGAUAACUUGUCUUUAUAUUAUACAAUAUUCAUAACUAUAAAAAGAGUCGUUCCAUUUAUAUAAUGGUCGAUUCAGUGAGAAUCAGUUUAACGUAGUACGCAUCAAUGAUUCAAAGCGAAACAGCAACAACGAAGAAAGAAUGACGAUGACGCGUGAAGCUGCACGUGAUGUAACGGGAUUCGCAUCAUUACACGCCAUGAAAAUCGGAUACAAAUGUACUCGUGGGACAAUUCGAUUUUCCCCUUG